GAAAAUGUGGGCAAAAUGUUAGACGUUUAACUAUACUAUGCCAGUAUGCUAGCCAUACGAAAGGGAAAAUAAGUGCGUCUUAUGUCUGGACUUGAAAGUCUCUACAUAACCUGACUGUUUUAUUUUGACGCAAGGAGAUCUUUCCAGAGAACAGGGGUAUGAAAAGCUCUGUGACCCACAGACUUCUUAUUCACCCUAGGGACACAAAGUAGUCCCGCACCCUGAGAA